UACGGAGGGUGCAAGCGUUGUCCGGAUUUAUUGGGUUUAAAGGGUGCGUAGGUGGCCCUAUAAGUCAGUGGUGAAAGUCUGCAGCUUAACUGUAGAACUGCCAUUGAUACUGUAGGGCUUGAGUACUGAUGAGGUAGGCGGAAUUGAUAGUGUAGCGGUGAAAUGCAUAGAUAUUAUCAAGAACACCGAUGGCGAAGGCAGCUUACUAAGGAGUUACUGACACUGAGGCACGAAAGCGUGGGGAUCAAACAGG
rnacentral:rRNA from 1 species